UUUUAUUCCAGUUUAAAAUGGAUUUUCAAGGGAGCAUGGACCUAUAGAAUAAAUCGCAAUGAAUGGGGCAACUAGAGCAACUACACCCAGACUAUCGACAGUGAUGGAAAAACUUUUUUCAACAUUAUUCGCGUUGACCGUUGGAUUGUUGUUUAUUACAACAGCUUAUGUUUGCAAGAAAAACUCAGAUUGCAACAAUAUUGGCUUCGGCCAUUUCACAUGCUACAAUGGUUUUUGUAACAUGGACUGAUGUAAAUUGAUGUUUGUAAACAAAAUCAAUAAUACCAACGUCAUGCAAAGAGAAGGAAUACAUUGCAUACAACAGAAGAAAUGUUAUUCAGUAAUUAGUAAAUAUAAUAUGGAAUAAAUACAAAAAUGUCAUGUUCUGUUUUGGUGAGGAGACAAUUUAAAAAAGGCAGAACAACAAUUCAGAAAGAUAAAAUUAAAACAGAAACUACAAAAAUUGAGACGUCGAAGAAAGUGAAUCAAGUCUUCUCUAAAAUUUCACGAUUUUUUUAAACUUCACGUUACUGCCCAAAUUUUUAAUUGUGAACCACCAGCUAGCAGUUAUCAAUCAUCUAUACAUUUUAUUAUCAACUCUCCUGUUUGUAAAAGUUUAUUUUGACAG